rnacentral:rRNA from 1 species
GACGAACGCUGGCGGCGUGCCUAAUACAUGCAAGUCGAACGCAGUGGGGACGGGUGAGUAACACGUGGGUAACCUCCCAUCAGAGGGGAUAACACUUGGCAACAGGUGCUUAACCGAUACUGAUGGAUGGACCCGCGGUGCAUUAGCUAGUUGGUGAGGUAACGGCUCACCAAGGCCACGAUGCAUAGCCGAACGGAGAGGGUGAUGGGCCACACUGGGACUGAGACACGGCCCAGACUCAUACGGGAGGCAGCAAUAGGGAAUCUUGGGCAAUGGACGAAAGUCUGAGCGAGCAACGCCGCGUGAGUGAAGAAGGUUUUCGGAUCGUAAAACUCUGUUGUUAGAGAAGCGGUAUCUAACCAGAAAGCCACGGCUAACUACGUGCCAGCAGCCGCGGUAAUUC